rnacentral:lncRNA from 1 species
AGUAUUUAAGGGCAGGCUUGGGAUGUGCUCAGCUUUCUCCGUGUGGGGCACGACGAGGUGAGCACCAGGCACCCGACCCAGCGUGGGACCUGGCCCCAAGGUGCUCCUGCUGUGCUGGGGACCGCGGCUUUUCCUCGGGAAAAUCCCCGACGAGGCUGGAGGCCGGGCAGCGCGGGGGGCUCCAGGGCAACGGAGUCGGUUCAGGAAAAAGAUGAACAGUUUGGAUAGAAGGACAUGGAGCUGGCCACAAAAACUGAUAGCACGAGCUGCCCCUGUUUGGUGGGACAGAUAAUACUGGUGGGGCAACUGGAGCUACCUCGCUCUUCCCUGGGUGUGCUGCACCAGCUGUUGUGGGGUUUCUGCGCCGGCACACGAGAGCAGAGCUCAGAGUAACAACAGAGAAGUUGCCAGGGGCUGUCUGGGAGUCCAGUGGAUGUGUGUGCAGAGGAAGCAUGAGCCAUUGCACCAGCUAUUUGGCAGUUGAGGAGCACGUCUGCGGAAACCAGGCCUUCUCUGAAAUAUUUGGGGGACUGGUCCACCACUGCUGUGCUGAGAGGGGCAACGAGAGCAGUCCGGAAGACGCUUGCACAAUCCUUCCUGGCCCUGGCCAGGACUUGAAGUCCCUUGCUGUCCUGAGCACAGUAGAAAACUCUGCACACUGACAUUGCCUUGCAGAUAACUGGCUGGGAAAGGAUUUCUUCAGGGCUUACACUCCACCUCCACCCACACUUGCAGUCCCAGAGUCACCAAAGAAAGUUUAAAAAUAUUCUGCCAAAUGUUUGCUCAGUUAAAUUUUUUAGGCCUUUUUGCAUUUAACCCCUGUUUUGAUUCUUGAUUUUUUUUUCCCUGUCUUCCUUUAAUUAAAAAAAAAAGUUUAUCUUCUGGGGGAUGAUCCUCAGGAGCUGGAUGUGUAGGAG